rnacentral:lncRNA from 1 species
GCCCCUACUGGGAAGUGAGGACCCCUCUGCCCGGCCAGCCGCCCCGUCCGGGAGGGAGGUGGGGGGAACAGCCCCCCGCCCGGCCAGCCGCCCUAUCCAGGAGCUUACUCUGAGGGAGGUCUGAAUGCCAUAUUGUGAGCGGCCCUGCUGAAAGACCCAUGUGGCAAGGAUCUGAGAUCAUUGGCCAACAGGCUGCAAAGAGUCCUACCAACAGCCAGGCUGGUGUUCUUGGAAGUGGAUCUUCUCCUACUCUCCUACUUGAGAUGACUGCAGCCCCAGCUAACACUUCGAUUGCAGCCUUGUUAAGAUAUCACGGGCCAGACACACCCAGCUAAGUUAUGCCUGAGUUACUAGCCCACAGAAAUGAUAAGAUAAUAAAUAUUUGCUGUUUUAAGCUGCUAAGUUUUGGGUUAAUUUGUUAUACAACAAUGGAUAACUAAUACAAGUGCAGUCAUUGAUCUCAUUGAACACACCCGUAAUUCUUUGGAAAAAUGUCUACUUUCUCACCAAACUAAAA